GACGAACGCUGGCGGCGUGCCUAACACAUGCAAGUCGGACGGAUCAGGUAUGACAGCUUGCUGUAGUGCCUGGUUAGUGGCGGACGGGUGAGUAACGCGUUGGUGAUCUGCCUCGAAGUGUGGAAUAACCUCCCGAAAGGGAAGCUAAUACCGCAUAGUCUCUCAAGGUUUAGAAAAUUGAGAGUAAAGGAUUUAUUCGCUUCGAGAGGAGCCUGCGUCCCAUCAGCUAGUUGGUAGGGUAACGGCCUACCAAGGCAAUGACGGGUAGGGGACCUGAGAGGGUGGCCCCCCCACAAUGGAACUGAAACACGGUCCAUACACCUACGGGUGGCAGCAGUAGGGAAUAUUAGAAAUGGGCGGAAGCCUGAUCUAGCAACACCGCGUGUGCGAUGAAGGCCUUCGGGUCGUAAAGCACUUUUUGGUAGGGAAUAGGAAGGAAGGUACCUCCAGAAUAAGUACUCGGCUAACUACGUG
rnacentral:rRNA from 1 species